rnacentral:rRNA from 1 species
CCUACGGGAGGCAGCAGUGGGGAAUUUUCCGCAAUGGGCGAAAGCCUGACGGAGCAAUCUCGCGUGAGGGAUGACGGCCUAUGGGUUGUAAACCUCUUUUUUCAGGGAGGAACAAAAUGACGUGUACCUGAAGAAUAAGCAUCGGCUAACUCCGUGCCAGCAGCCGCGGUAAGACGGAGGAUGCAAGUGUUAUCCGGAAUCACUGGGCGUAAAGCGUCUGUAGGUGGUUUGAUAAGUCAACUGUUAAAUCUUGAAGCUCAACUUCAAAAUCGCAGUCGAAACUAUUAGACUGGAGUAUAGUAGGGGUAAAGGGAAUUUCCAGUGGAGCGGUGAAAUGCGUAGAUAUUGGAAAGAACACCGAUGGCGAAGGCACUUUACUGGGCUAUUACUGACACUCAGAGACGAAAGCUAGGGUAGCAAAUGGGAUUAGAUACCCCAGUAGUCCUAGCCGUAAACAAUGGAUACUAGAUGUUGAACAGAUCGACCUGUGCAGUAUUAAAGCUAACGCGUUAAGUAUCCCGCCUGGGAAGUAUGCUCGCAAGAGUGAAACUCAAAGGAAUUGACGG